GCUGUACUAUGCACAAAACAAAUAUAACUAUUCCAGACCACUUAAAUCUCGGAAUAAUCACCUAAUUUCAGAAGCCCAGUUAAAUUAUUUGUAGUCACUUACACAUGCAUUCACAUACAUAGUUAGAAACAUUAGCCAUACUGUGUGCCUUUUUCUACAAAAACUGCAAACCAUGAAUUAAACAAAACCAGCCUCAUUAUUAAAGUCAAUCCCAACAAAUCCAUUCGCUGUAACAUGAUUCCUAACUGGUUUAUGUAGCAAACCAGAUAAGCCCAAACGACCACAUACAUAAAAUUUGAUGUACCAGUGCAAGAAGAUCGCCAUCAUCGGACCCUCGAUUGCAACUUAAAGGGCUUCUUCCAACACACGCCUUACACGAUGUUCCCAAUAACAUUAAUAAUAAUAACACAGGCUCAUUUGCAUGCAAAGUGCAAUACGGGACCAAAUCCGCCCGAGAAUGCAGUUUAGUUACAUUACCGCAGCCAACCCCCUACCCCAAACUCUCCCAAAAUCCCUUGCCUUUCAUCUAAAACUAGAUUAUGGUUGUGUCAUUCGAGGUCAAUUUAUUCACCUGAGGUAUCUCUACACCAAUCUUUUUUUUCAACCAAACUAGGCAGACACGACUUUGUCUGAAAAGCCCUCUUUCAGAAAAGAAAGAAACAACCUUACCGGACGCUGUGUUUAAAACCCCUCAGCUGCAGAAUUAUCUAUAAACUUGACAUUCACAGCCAUUGCUUAAAACUGCAAGUCAAAGGAUGUGUUGUUAGGAGCACUUACGUAUUUCUUCUGAAUGAUAUUCCUCUUGGGUCUUUCCUUACUCAUUCUGAGAUCCAAAUGCUGAUUGCAAAAGGGGACAAUUGCUUCAUGAAUUUAAAGCCGUCAGAAAUUUGCAAAAAAAUAUCCUUUGAGUUUUUAUUGUUGUUGGUGGUGGUUGAUCUUGUAAUCCGACGUUUCUUCCUCUUUCCCCAAAGCCAAAUUCGCCUUGAAAUAAAUCCGAAAUUGGGAAGGAAAAAAAACAAAAACAAGAGCCAAAGACGAACGAAGCAAACAAAAAAAAAAAUUCACUUUAGUAAAACACUCAUAAUGGAAAAUUUCCCCCGAAACACAUACAACACAAAAAAAAAGAAAAAAAGAAGAAAAAAACCGACGCCCUUCACUCCCCCCCUUUUUUCCUCCAAAAACUACAUCAGCGAAACGUGAAGGUCCUUAGUGUCUGAUCUGUAGUUACAUCUUGGAAAAGAAAAGGGAAAGAUAAAUAAAAAAUGUUGGAAGUCACGUUUGUGCUGCAGCAGCAGUGCGAGAAGAGUCAACUCCAACGGCGGCAGCAGCAGAGGAGCCAAAGACGAAUGAAGCAAACCAAAAUAAUUCACUUUAGUAAAGUACUCAUAAUGGAAAAUUUCCCCCGAAACACAUACAACACACAAAAAAGAAAAAAAACGAUGCCCUUCACUUCCCCCCCGGCCCCGCUUUUUUCCUCCAAAAACUACAUCAGGGAAACGUGAAGGUCCUUAGUGUCUGAUCUGUAGUUACAUCUUGGAAAAGAAAAGGGAAACAUAAAUAAAAAAUGUUGGAAGUCACGUUUGUGCUGCAGCAGCAGUGCAAGAAGAGUCAACUCCAACGGCGGCAGCAGCAGAGCACCACCGCCAAGCUGGUUUUGAACUUGCAAUCCUCCUACCUCAACCUCCCAGAGUGCUGGAAUAACAGGCAAGCACCACCAUGUUGGGCUCAGACUUGCCUCUUGCAGACUACGUAACCCAGUGCCUUGGUUUCCUCACUGGGAUGUAGGAAUAGUAACAGUAAAUACGUCAAAGAACGGUGUUUAUAUAACUGGCUUAGAACAGGGCAUAGAAUAUAAAAAAUGUUAUAGUUGUUUGCUGCCAUGAUUAUUCUUAUUAUUCAGGGAGCACUGGGCCCCAGAGCCA
rnacentral:lncRNA from 1 species